rnacentral:misc_RNA from 1 species
CCUUAGCCCCGAUAGAAACGGUUACCCCGCAGUAAGCGUUGGCUAAGCAGCUGCGCGGGGAGUAUGAGUGGAUAGCGGGAUUAAGC